CGGGGUGAGUAAUGUAUGGGGAUCUGCCCGAUAGAGGGGGAUAACUACUGGAAACGGUGGCUAAUACCGCAUAAUGUCUACGGACCAAAGCAGGGGCUCUUCGGACCUUGCACUAUCGGAUGAACCCAUAUGGGAUUAGCUAGUAGGUGGGGUAAAGGCUCACCUAGGCGACGAUCCCUAGCUGGUCUGAGAGGAUGACCAGCCACACUGGAACUGAGACACGGUCCAG
rnacentral:rRNA from 1 species